CCAGGAAGUGUGGACAGGAAUUUUAAAUUUAGAAGGUUUAACCUUUCACACUGAAACUCAGUUACAUCUGUUCCAGUUUAAAGUUUCUUUUAUUCUAAAAAGAUUCUCGAUUUAUUUCUAAAUGUGAACUUGAACUUGU